ensembl:ncRNA F59G1.10 ncRNA
AAAAAAAGAUCUGCUCAAACCGUCCUGGUACCCGGAGAGCCCAGGUGUGAAGCAUCAAUAGUACACUCACACUUGAGGUCUCAGGGAACAGGCCGGAAGCAUAAACUCAUAAACCAACCAAAACUCUAGAAAUUGUCUAGAAUCU